rnacentral:tRNA from 1 species
GCCCGGCUAGCUCAAUCGGUAGAGCGUGAGACUCUUACAGAGUUUCCGAUUCUGAAAUCUCAAGGUUGUGGGUUCGACCCCCACGUCGGGCU